rnacentral:lncRNA from 1 species
GGGCCGGGCUGUGCUGAGGCCGGCGGGGUGGUAGCACAGGAGGGGUUCGCAGGCUCUGCGGCCGUGCGUGGCGGGGCGUGGGGGCCCGCAGGGCGGAAGUAGCUCGGAGAGACGGGCUGGGGCAGGGCGUGCGUUCGUGCGGUCAAAAUCCACUGGUGGCGUUUGGGGUGUUCCCGUGGACGCGGCCUCCCGGCAGGCGGACCUCCACCGGGUGGGCGCGGCAGGCGGGCUGUGCGGGCAGGAAGAGCGACGAGCUUGAGAGUGGGAGAUGGGGUGCAACGGCGGGCCUCUCCGGGGAGGUGACACUGCCGCUGAGACCCGAAUGGAAGGGCGCGCCCGGCGGGGGAACAGCAGGCGCCGAGAUGGAGUCUCACUGUAGUCCAGAUGGAGUGCAAUGGCGUGAUCUCGGCUCACU